rnacentral:rRNA from 1 species
GGUAGCGAGAUAGAGGUGGGAAUCCUCUAGGCCGAAUAUCCAAGGUUUCCAGGGUAAAGCUGAUCUGCCCUGGGUAAGUCGGGGCCUAAGGCGAGGACGAGAGUCGUAGCCGAUGGACAACAGGUGGAGAUUCCUGUACUAUGAUAUGACAGAAAUGUGGGGACACGUGCAGAAAGCGGAAGCCGGGAAUGGGAUCCCGGUGCAAGCGAGGUACCAGCCACAUUGGAAAAACCGUGUGGCAAUGGGAAGACGUGAUGCGGAGCGAAAUAAAGUAGCGAAGUCCGUGAGCUGUGCGUCAAGAAAAGCCGCUAUUGUUCAUACCAUACCCGUACCGUAAACCGACACAGGUGGAUGAGGAGAGAAUCCUAAGGCCGGCGGAAGAAGCAUUGUCAAGGAACUCGGCAAAAUGACCCCGUAACUUCGGGAGAAGGGGUGCCUGUGAAAACAGGCCGCAGAGAAUAGGCUCAAGCAACUGUUUAGCAAAAACACAGGUCUAUGCGAAACCGAAAGGUGAGGUAUAUGGGCUGACGCCUGCCCGGUGCUGGAAGGUUAAGAGGAGAGGUUAGCGCAAGCGAAGCUUUGAAUUUAAGCCCCAGUAAACGGCGGCCGUAACUAUAACGGUCCUAAGGUAGCGAAAUUCCUUGUCGGGUAAGUUCCGACCCGCACGAAAGGCGUAAUGAUUUGAGCGCUGUCUCGACAAUGCAUCCGGUGAAAUUGAAGUACCAGUGAAGAUGCUGGUUACCUGCGCCAGGACGGAAAGACCCCAUGGAGCUUUACUCCAGUUUGGUACUGGGAUCCGGUACUGCAUGUACAGGAUAGGUGGGAGGCUAUGAAGCGGUAACGCCAGUUGCCGCAGAGCCGCUGUUGGGAUACCACCCUUGCAGUAUUGGGUUUCUAACCAGCCGCCGUGAACCGGCGGUGGGACAAUGCCAGACGGGGAGUUUGACUGGGGCGGUCGCCUCCGAAAGGGUAUCGGAGGCGCCCAAAGGUUCCCUCAGAAUGGACGGAAACCAUUCGAAGAGUGCAAAGGCAGAAGGGAGCUUGACUGCGACACCGACGGGUGGAGCAGGUACGAAAGUAGGGCUUAGUGAUCCGGUGGUAUUAAGUGGGAAUGCCAUCGCUCAACGGAUAAAAGCUACCCUGGGAUAACAGGCUUAUCACUCCCAAGAGUUCACAUCGACGGAGUGGUUUGGCACCUCGAUGUCGGCUCAUCGCAUCCUGGGGCUGUAGUAGGUCCCAAGGGUUGGGCUGUUCGCCCAUUAAAGCGGUACGCGAGCUGGGUUCAGAACGUCGUGAGACAGUUCGGUCCCUAUCCGGCGUGGGCGUAGGAUAUCUGAGAGGAGCUGUCCUUAGUACGAGAGGACCGGGAUGGACGGACCGCUGGUGUACCGGUUAGACUGCCAAGUCUACGGCCGGGUAGCCAAGUCCGGAAGGGAUAAACGCUGAAGGCAUCUAAGCGUGAAGCCCCCCUCGAGAUGAGAUAUCCCAUCCGAAAGGAGUAAACCCCCUUGAAGACGACGAGGUUGAUAGGGCAGGGGUGGAAGCACAGUAAUGUGUGGAGCUGACUGCUACUAAUAGGGUGAGGGCUUGACC